rnacentral:rRNA from 1 species
UCGGGAAUUUUGGGCAAUGGGCGAAAGCCUGACCCAGCAACGCCGCGUGAGGGAUGAAGGCCUUCGGGUCGUAAACCUCUGUCGGAAGGGAAGAAAGGUCCCCCUUCGAACAGGUGGGGGGCUUGACGGUACCUUCAAAGGAAGCGCCGGCUAACUCCGUGCCAGCAGCCGCGGUAAUACGGAGGGCGCAAGCGUUGUUCGGAAUCACUGGGCGUAAAGCGCGUGUAGGCGGCCGGGCAAGUCGGAUGUGAAAUCCCAGGGCUCAACCCUGGAACUGCAUCCGAAACUGCUCGGCUAGAGUCCCGGAGAGGGUGGCGGAAUUCCCGGUGUAGAGGUGAAAUUCGUAGAUAUCGGGAAGAACACCAGAGGCGAAGGCGGCCACCUGGACGGCGACUGACGCUGAGACGCGAAAGUGUGGGGAGCAAACAGGAUUAGAUACCCCCGUAGUCC